rnacentral:misc_RNA from 1 species
UAAAAAAUGACACCGCCUCACACGCAGAACCUAACCUCAGCCCAUUCCCCUUUCACCCUAUUUGCUGAUUAGACCCAUCUCCCCUCUCCUUUGACCAGCUCUACACCGAACCGCUAUACCCGAUACCACGAACCAGACCAUCUCCCUCUCUCGACAACUUCACCUCCGUUGACCUCAGCCUCUCUUCAUGCCACCUCCACCAUCCCACUCUCACCCAUCUCAACCUCAAGCCCCCGGCCAGACUACCCUUCC